rnacentral:rRNA from 1 species
UUGAACGCUGGCGGCAGGCCUAACACAUGCAAGUCGAACGGUAACAGGAAACAGCUUGCUGUUUCGCUGACGAGUGGCGGACGGGUGAGUAAUGUCUGGGAAACUGCCUGAUGGAGGGGGAUAACUACUGGAAACGGUAGCUAAUACCGCAUAACGUCGCAAGACCAAAGAGGGGGACCUUCGGGCCUCUUGCCAUCGGAUGUGCCCAGAUGGGAUUAGCUUGUUGGUGGGGUAACGGCUCACCAAGGCGACGAUCCCUAGCUGGUCUGAGAGGAUGACCAGCCACACUGGAACUGAGACACGGUCCAGACUCCUACGGGAGGCAGCAGUGGGGAAUAUUGCACAAUGGGCGCAAGCCUGAUGCAGCCAUGCCGCGUGUAUGAAGAAGGCCUUCGGGUUGUAAAGUACUUUCAGCGGGGAGGAAGGGAGUAAAGUUAAUACCUUUGCUCAUUGACGUUACCCGCAGAAGAAGCACCGGCUAACUCCGUGCCAGCAGCCGCGGUAAUACGGAGGGUGCAAGCGUUAAUCGGAAUUACUGGGCGUAAAGCGCACGCAGGCGGUUUGUUAAGUCAGAUGUGAAAUCCCCGGGCUCAACCUGGGAACUGCAUCUGAUACUGGCAAGCUUGAGUCUCGUAGAGGGGGGUAGAAUUCCAGGUGUAGCGGUGAAAUGCGUAGAGAUCUGGAGGAAUACCGGUGGCGAAGGCGGCCCCCUGGACGAAGACUGACGCUCAGGUGCGAAAGCGUGGGGAGCAAACAGGAUUAGAUACCCUGGUAGUCCACGCCGUAAACGAUGUCGACUUGGAGGUUGUGCCCUUGAGGCGUGGCUUCCGGAGCUAACGCGUUAAGUCGACCGCCUGGGGAGUACGGCCGCAAGGUUAAAACUCAAAUGAAUUGACGGGGGCCCGCACAAGCGGUGGAGCAUGUGGUUUAAUUCGAUGCAACGCGAAGAACCUUACCUGGUCUUGACAUCCACGGAAGUUUUCAGAGAUGAGAAUGUGCCUUCGGGAACCGUGAGACAGGUGCUGCAUGGCUGUCGUCAGCUCGUGUUGUGAAAUGUUGGGUUAAGUCCCGCAACGAGCGCAACCCUUAUCCUUUGUUGCCAGCGGUCCGGCCGGGAACUCAAAGGAGACUGCCAGUGAUAAACUGGAGGAAGGUGGGGAUGAUGUCAAGUCAUCAUGGCCCUUACGACCAGGGCUACACACGUGCUACAAUGGCGCAUACAAAGAGAAGCGACCUCGCGAGAGCAAGCGGACCUCAUAAAGUGCGUCGUAGUCCGGAUUGGAGUCUGCAACUCGACUCCAUGAAGUCGGAAUCGCUAGUAAUCGUGGAUCAGAAUGCCACGGUGAAUACGUUCCCGGGCCUUGUACACACCGCCCGUCACACCAUGGGAGUGGGUUGCAAAAGAAGUAGGUAGCUUAACCUUCGGGAGGGCGCUUACCACUUUGUGAUUCAUGACUGGGGUG